UUGANCGCUGAGGUUGGUACUUGUACCGACUGGAUGAGCAGCGAACGGGUGAGUAACGCGUGGGGAAUCUGCCUUUGAGCGGGGGACAACAUUUGGAAACGAAUGCUAAUACCGCAUAAAAACUUUAAACACAAGUUUUAAGUUUGAAAGAUGCAAUUGCAUCACUCAAAGAUGAUCCCGCGUUGUAUUAGCUAGUUGGUGAGGUAAAGGCUCACCAAGGCGAUGAUACAUAGCCGACCUGAGAGGGUGAUCGGCCACAUUGGGACUGAGACACGGCCCAAACUCCUACGGGAGGCAGCAGUAGGGAAUCUUCGGCAAUGGACGAAAGUCUGACCGAGCAACGCCGCGUGAGUGAAGAAGGUUUUCGGAUCGUAAAACUCUGUUGGUAGAGAAGAACGUUGGUGAGAGUGGAAAGCUCAUCAAGUGACGGUAACUACCCAGAAAGGGACGGCUAACUACGUGCCAGCAGCCGCGGUAAUACGUAGGUCCCGAGCGUUGUCCGGAUUUAUUGGGCGUAAAGCGAGCCCAGGUGGUUUAUUAAGUCUGGNGUAAAAGGCAGUGGCUCANCCAUUGUAUGCAUUGGAAA
rnacentral:rRNA from 1 species